rnacentral:rRNA from 1 species
CCUACGGGAGGCAGCAGUAGGGAAUUUUCGGCAAUGGGGGGAACCCUGACCGAGCAACGCCGCGUGAACGAAGAAGUGAUUCCUAAUGUAAAGUUCUUUUAACAGGGAAGAAAGAGAAAUUUGAAGGUACCCGAAGAAUAAGCUCCGGCUAACUACGUGCCAGCAGCCGCGGGAAUACGUAGGGAGCGAGUGUUAUCCGGAAAUAUUGGGCGUAAAGGGUGCGUAGAUGGCAUAGUAAGACUUUUGUAAAAAUGCUGGGCUAAACCCAGUAGGGCAAAAGAUACUGCAAAGCUAGAGUAUGACAGAGGGAAGUGGAACUACAUGUGUAGCGGUAAAAUGCGUAAAUAUAUGUAAGAACACCAGUGGCGAAGGCGGGUUGCUGGGUCGAUACUGACAUUGAGGCACGAAGGCGUGGGGAGCGAACGGGAUUAGAUACCCCAGUAGUC